GUGGAGCAUGUGGUUUAAUUCGAAGCAACGCGAAGAACCUUACCAGGUCUUGACAUCCUUUGACCACUCUAGAGAUAGAGCUUUCCCUUCGGGGACAAAGUGACAGGUGGUGCAUGGUUGUCGUCAGCUCGUGUCGUGAGAUGUUGGGUUAAGUCCCGCAACGAGCGCAACCCUUAUUGUUAGUUGCCAUCAUUUAGUUGGGCACUCUAGCAAGACUGCCGGUGAUAAACCGGAGGAAGGUGGGGAUGACGUCAAAUCAUCAUGCCCCUUAUGACCUGGGCUACACACGUGCUACAAUGGACGGUACAAUGAGUUGCGAGNCCGCGANNNNNAGCUAAUCUCUUAAAGCCGUUCUCAGUUCGGAUUGUAGGCUGCAACUCGCCUACNGAAGNNNNAUCGC
rnacentral:rRNA from 1 species